rnacentral:rRNA from 1 species
GAUGAACGCUAGCUACAGGCUUAACACAUGCAAGUCGAACGGACUCAUAUUGAAACCUAGUGAUGUAUGAGUUAGUGGCGGACGGGUGAGUAACGCGUGGAAAACCUGCCGUAUACUGGGGGAUAACACUUAGAAAUAGGUGCUAAUACCGCAUAAGCGCACAGCUUCGCAUGAAGCAGUGUGAAAAACUCCGGUGGUAUACGAUGGUUCCGCGUCUGAUUAGCUAGUUGGCGGGGUAACGGCCCACCAAGGCGACGAUCAGUAGCCGGCCUGAGAGGGUGAACGGCCACAUUGGGACUGAGACACGGCCCAA